rnacentral:lncRNA from 1 species
AAAGAAGAUAUGAAUGACAAAAGGAAGAAAAUAGACAGAAACACAAUUUUGAGACCAAAAAUAAACAAUAUGUGCAGCUUCUUGACACAAACCAAAGAGCCUUUCACUCUUCUUGAUAUAAACCAGUGGCACCCAAACUCCAACCUGCACUAACAACCCAGAUUUUCAACCCCAAUCAUCACCAUCUACCAAGAAGCAGAACCCCCAAGUGAGAAAUCAGAAUCCCCUGCGACGCUUCAAGAAGCAGAACCCCCAAGAAGCAGAUCCAAGAAGCAGAACCCCCAAAUCCAUUUCGCCAUCCACUUG